UGACUUUUAAGAUGCAUCAGUGAUGU
rnacentral:piRNA from 1 species